rnacentral:rRNA from 1 species
GACGAACGCUGGCGGCGUGCCUAAUACAUGCAAGUUGAGCGCUGAAGGUUGGUACUUGUACCAACUGGAUGAGCAGCGAACGGGUGAGUAACGCGUGGGGAAUCUGCCUUUGAGCGGGGGACAACAUUUGGAAACGAAUGCUAAUACCGCAUAAAAACUUUAAACACAAGUUUUAAGUUUGAAAGAUGCAAUUGCAUCACUCAAAGAUGAUCCCGCGUUGUAUUAGCUAGUUGGUGAGGUAAAGGCUCACCAAGGCGAUGAUACAUAGCCGACCUGAGAGGGUGAUCGGCCACAUUGGGACUGAGACACGGCCCAAACUCCUACGGGAGGCAGCAGUAGGGAAUCUUCGGCAAUGGACGAAAGUCUGACCGAGCAACGCCGCGUGAGUGAAGAAGGUUGUCGCAUCGUAAAACUCUGUUGGUAGAGAAGAACGUUGGUGAGAGUGGAAAGCUCAUCAAGUGACGGUAACUACCCAGAAAGGGACGGCUAACUACGUG